CUCAGGACAAACGCUGGCGGCGUGCAUAAAACAUGCAAGUCGAACGGGCCGAUCCCCGCAAGGGGAAAGGCUAGUGGCGAACGGCUGAGUAACACGUAGGUGACCUGCCCCGAAGUGGGGGAUAACGACUCGAAAGAGUCGCUAAUACCGCAUGUGACCACCGAUCCAUUUCGGUGCUCAAAGUCGCAAGACGCUUUGGGAGGGGCCUGCGGCGGAUUAGCUAGUUGGUGGGGUAACGGCCUACCAAGGCGUCGAUCCGUAGCUGGUCUGAGAGGAUGGCCAGCCAGACUGGGACUGAGACACGGCCCAGACUCCUACGGGAGGCAGCAGUUAGGAAUUUUGCGCAAUGGGGGAAACCCUGACGCAGCCACGCCGCGUGCGGGAUGAAGGCCUUCGGGUCGUAAACCGCUUUUCUCGAGGAAGAAGCUCUGACGGUACUCGAGGAAUAAGCAACGGCUAACUACGUGCCAGCAGCCGCGGUAAUACGUAGGUUGCGAGCGUUGUCCGGAUUUACUGGGCGUAAAGCGCGCGCAGGCGGUCCUGAAAGUCGAAUGUGAAAGCUCCUGGCCCAACUGGGAGAGGCCGUUCGAAACUUCGGGACUUGAAGGCGGGAGAGGCAGAUGGAAUUUCCGGUGUAGCGGUAAAAUGCGUAGAUACCGGAAGGAACACCAGUGGCGAAAGCGAUCUGCUGGCCCGCCCUUGACGCUCAGGCGCGAAAGCUAGGGGAGCGACCGGGAUUAGAUACCCCGUUAGUCCUAGCCGUAAACAAUGGGCACUAGGUGUUGUCGGUAUCGACCCCGGCAGUGCCGAAGCUAACGCAUUAAGUGCCCCGCCUGGGGAGUACGACCGCAAGGUUAAAACU
rnacentral:rRNA from 1 species